rnacentral:rRNA from 1 species
ACGUAGGGUGCGAGCGUUAUCCGGAAUUACUGGGCGUAAAGGGCGUGCAGGCGGUUUCCUAAGUCAGGCGUGAAAGCCACGGGCUAAACCUGGGGAGGACGUUUGAUACUGGGGGACUAGAGUGUGGUAGAGGCGUGUGGAAUUCCGGGUGUAGUGGUGAAAUGCGUAGAGAUCCGGAGGAACACCAGUGGCGAAGGCGACGCGCUGGGCCUGACCUGACGCUAAGACGCGAGAGCAUGGGGAGCGAACGG